ensembl:lncRNA
UAUGUUGUUUCAGGAACAUUAGCAUGAGCCUUCUGUUUUUUCAACGUAAUGAUCAAUCCUCUGCUCUUUAGGGGAGAGCUGGCAUCGAUGGGAAGAGGGGCCUGCCAGGAACAGACGGAGAAAGUGGAUCAAGAGGAGAAGAUGGCAAAAAGGGGGAUAGGGGAGACCCAGGUGCAAAUGUAAGUGGUUUUGAUAUUUAAAAAGAAAAAAAAAUCUUGAGUUUGCAACUUCAAGUGUUUUUUGUUCUUUCACAGGGUAAAGACGGUGGUAAGGGGGAACCAGGACCUCCGGGUUUGCCUGGCAGACAAGUGCUUGUCACACCAGAGGUAAAAAUAUCCACCUGCAUUUCAUGUAUGGUAAAAAGGUUUCUCAUUUCUCAAUCAAAAGCGUAAGGGGUAGAUUAAGCAAUCAACUCAGGGUUGGACUUCCAUAGUUAUUACUACCUCUAACAUUAAAAUCAUGUUCAUCUUGACCUGCCUCGCCGUUUUAGCUUCACUGAUUUUUAAAUGGAUCCAUUCACAGGGCGCCACCAUUGACGAGGUCCGACAAGCAUUCCCGAUCCCAAUGGGUCCUCCAGGAGCUACCGGUUCACCAGGAAAAAAGGGUGAUCAAGGAGAAAGAGGCCUGAAAGGAGAGAAGGGUGAUGGCGGAGCACCUGGAAAAUCUAUUGAGAUGAAGGACAUUGAAAUAAUGUUUGAAGCCUACGGCAUAAGGCUGCCCUUGCUGAAGGCUUUGAUUGACAGGCUGCUGCAGGAGGGGAUAGAGGAGCUGCUUCAUGUGCUCGUCACCGCCAAGAACACAAAAGAAAACAAAGAAACUCACACAUCUAACGUCAUCACGGAGUACACGAGUUCAGUGCAGUUCGACCUCACCAGCCAGCCGCUGUUAGAGUUGGACACCACUGAAGACCCAGAUACAGAUGAGCAGCUUCCGGAGUCAUUUUCAGUAGAGCCUCUUAAUGAAACUGCAGAGGUUCCAUCUUUAAGGACCAUCAGUGCACUGAACGAAGAGCAGGAGCUCGACAGGAUCGAGACCAAGUCAAAGGGAUCCACAGGGAUGAAGAUGAUAGACGGGGACAGUGACAAAGUGUCCUCACUGAAAAUGAAUCUGACAAAAGUCAAUUCCACUUUCAAUUAUACUACGGCCCAGGAGACGGUUUCAGGGCUAACGGAAACUGUGGUGGAGAAAGUUGUCCUCACUCAGGAGGACUCUCUGAAGAAGAAUUCAGGAAAAAAGAAGAAAAACAGGGAACGUGGGAAGACAAGCGAAGAGCAAGGAGAUGAAGAAGAGGAUGAGUUUUAUAACGGUGAAGAAUACGGUGAUGAAUACGAGGAAGAACUUUCCCCACAUGGUAACUUGCAGGAGAGCAGAGACGACAGAGAGGUGGAACUACUGCCCACGCACAUUCCUGCCCAGUUAGAAACAUCCUCAGACCCCUCCCGUCUUCAUCUGACUCACUUCUCAGAAAGAGAAACAGACGAACAGGCUGCGCGGACGACCACAGAUCCUCCCUAUCAACCGACGGGGGAGGUGGAGAAGGGUGAAGUGUCACUGCCCACACCUCCCAUCACAACGGAAGAACCGGACAAGGUGCCUCUAUCUCAAAUGAGGGUGAGAAGAGGCGCCCCCUGGUCUGACUCCAUGGCGUUCAUGCCAGGUGCCCCGGGCAGAAGACAUUGGUCCAAGGAGGUGCAAAAACAUCACUCCUCUGGAGCUGCAGGUUACAACAGCUUCAAUAAGAAGCAAGAAAACGCUGAUGUUCACACACACACCAGGAGGGAGAGGCAAGGAAGAAGAGACAGACAGACAUACAGUGAGACGGAGGGAGGGAUUCAUCCAGAAAUACAAGGUGGAGGAGACGAACAGACUGAAGCUGAAGGAGUUGAGGAGUGGGAGCAAGAUGGAUAUACAGGAGCAGUCCCCGAUCCGGUCUACGACGAGGAGGAGGGGAGCGGAGACUACGACUGGGAUGCCGAGGAGGAUGUGGAUCGAGAGAGGGAAGCGGAGGAGGAGUUGGAGAACCUGGAGAGGGAGAGAGAGAGGGAGAGGUUGGAGAUGGAGAGAGAGAGAGGGGAGCUGGAGAAGGAGAGGGAGGAGAUGGAGAGAGAGAGGACGGGACAGGAUGGGGAGAGAGACUUGGCCAGGGAGAGGGAGGAAUGGGAGAGGAGGAGGAUGGAGGUGGAGAGACGGAGAGAGGGGCAUUAUGAUGAAGAAACUGGACAGCCAUACCCAUACCCUCCAGAGUAUUUUUUACUGAAGGGGCAACCGGGGGAGAACGGAAAACCGGACAAAAGGUGA